rnacentral:rRNA from 1 species
AGAGUUUGAUCCUGGCUCAGGAUGAACGCUAGCUACAGGCUUAACACAUGCAAGUCGAGGGGCAGCAUUUUAGUUUGCUUGCAAACUAAAGAUGGCGACCGGCGCACGGGUGAGUAACACGUAUCCAACCUGCCGAUAACUCGGGGAUAGCCUUUCGAAAGAAAGAUUAAUAUCCGAUAGUAUAUUAAAACCGCAUGGUUUUACUAUUAAAGAAUUUCGGUUAUCGAUGGGGAUGCGUUCCAUUAGUUUGUUGGCGGGGUAACGGCCCACCAAGACUACGAUGGAUAGGGGUUCUGAGAGGAAGGUCCCCCACAUUGGAACUGAGACACGGUCCAAACUCCUACGGGAGGCAGCAGUGAGGAAUAUUGGUCAAUGGACGAGAGUCUGAACCAGCCAAGUAGCGUGAAGGAUGACUGCCCUAUGGGUUGUAAACUUCUUUUAUAUGGGAAUAAAGUAUUCCACGUGUGGGAUUUUGUAUGUACCAUAUGAAUAAGGAUCGGCUAACUCCGUGCCAGCAGCCGCGGUAAUACGGAGGAUCCGAGCGUUAUCCGGAUUUAUUGGGUUUAAAGGGAGCGUAGGUGGAUUGUUAAGUCAGUUGUGAAAGUUUGCGGCUCAACCGUAAAAUUGCAGUUGAAACUGGCAGUCUUGAGUACAGUAGAGGUGGGCGGAAUUCGUGGUGUAGCGGUGAAAUGCUUAGAUAUCACGAAGAACUCCGAUUGCGAAGGCAGCUCACUAGACUGCAACUGACACUGAUGCUCGAAAGUGUGGGUAUCAAACAGGAUUAGAUACCCUGGUAGUCCACACAGUAAACGAUGAAUACUCGCUGUUUGCGAUAUACAGUAAGCGGCCAAGCGAAAGCAUUAAGUAUUCCACCUGGGGAGUACGCCGGCAACGGUGAAACUCAAAGGAAUUGACGGGGGCCCGCACAAGCGGAGGAACAUGUGGUUUAAUUCGAUGAUACGCGAGGAACCUUACCCGGGCUUAAAUUGCAUUUGAAUAAUCUGGAAACAGGUUAGCCGCAAGGCAAAUGUGAAGGUGCUGCAUGGUUGUCGUCAGCUCGUGCCGUGAGGUGUCGGCUUAAGUGCCAUAACGAGCGCAACCCUUAUCUUUAGUUACUAACAGGUUAUGCUGAGGACUCUAGAGAGACUGCCGUCGUAAGAUGUGAGGAAGGUGGGGAUGACGUCAAAUCAGCACGGCCCUUACGUCCGGGGCUACACACGUGUUACAAUGGGGGGUACAGAAGGCAGCUACCUGGUGACAGGAUGCUAAUCCCAAAAACCUCUCUCAGUUCGGAUCGAAGUCUGCAACCCGACUUCGUGAAGCUGGAUUCGCUAGUAAUCGCGCAUCAGCCAUGGCGCGGUGAAUACGUUCCCGGGCCUUGUACACACCGCCCGUCAAGCCAUGAAAGCCGGGGGUACCUGAAGUACGUAACCGCAAGGAGCGUCCUAGGGUAAAACUGGUAAUUGGGGCUAAGUCGUAACAAGGUAGCCGUACCGGAAGGUGCGGCUG